rnacentral:rRNA from 1 species
AUUGAACGCUGGCGGCAGGCCUAACACAUGCAAGUCGAGCGAGCGGCGGACGGGUGAGUAAUGUCUGGGAAACUGCCUGAUGGAGGGGGAUAACUACUGGAAACGGUAGCUAAUACCGCAUACCAUCAGAUGUGCCCAGAUGGGAUUAGCUAGUAGGUGGGGUAAUGGCUCCCCUAGGCGACGAUCCCUAGCUGGUCUGAGAUGGUGACCAGCCACGCUGGAGUGGAUGCUCGGCCGAGUUGCCAACGGGACGCAGCAGAGAGGAAUAUGGCACGCUGGGGGCAAGCCUGAUGCACCCAUGCCGCGUGUGUGAAGAAGGCCUUCGGGGUGUAAAGCACUUUCAGUGGGGUGGCGUUACCCGCAGAAUAAGCACCGGCUAACUCCGUGCCAGCAGCCGCGGUAAUAC